AUGUUUUCCAUAAGCCCACUACAAGCUUAUUCGUUUCGUUGUUGGUUUCCCAACAACUCCGUUAUAACCUUCUUGGAAGGGUGCUUCGCAUUUUCUUCUCCAUUCUUCUAUUUCAAUUAUCUAUCUUCUAUUCUUUUGUUUCGGAGGCAUUGUGAUGUUGUGCUCUUCAAUCAUCAUCUUGUUUUGUCAGGAUCGUGUUCUUUUCAUGCUUAUCCAUUUAACCGGAGUGUCCUGCCUUUUUCUUUCAAGUUCUUUUUCAUCUUAUCAAGUCUUGCAUCUCUUUCCAACCGGAGUGCUGUCCGAUUUUGA
rnacentral:rRNA from 1 species